rnacentral:rRNA from 1 species
CAAGUCGAACGCCUGUAGCAAUACAGGAGUGGCGAAAGGGCGAGGAAUAGAUUCCUACAUACCUCGAGGUCGGGGAUACCCCGGAGAAAUCCGGAUCAAUACCCGAUGUGGUCGAGAGAUCAAAGGUUUACCGCCUUGAGAGUGGGGAAUCUCCUAUCAGCUAGUUGGUGAGGUAACGGCUCACCAAGGCAAAGACGGGUAGCGGGUGUGAGAGCACGGCCCGCCGCAUCGAGACUGAGACACUGCUCGGACUCCUACGGGAGGCUGCAGUAACGAAUCUUCCGCAAUGCGCGAAAGCGUGACGGGGCAAUGCCGCGUGCAGGAUGAAGCCCUUCGGGGUGUAAACUGCUGUCAGGGUGCAUGAAUGAAAUGACCAUACCCAAAGGAAGCACCGGCUAACUCUGUGCCAGCAGCCGCGGUAAUACAGAGGGUGCGAGCGUUAAUCGGAAUCACUGGGCUUAAAGGGUGCGUAGGCGGAUGCAUAGGCGCUUUGUGAAAUCCCACGGCUCAACCGUGGAAUUGCUUGGCGAACCAUGCGUCUUGAGGUUGGUAGAGGUCACUGGAACGAUAGGUGGAGCGGUGAAAUGCGUAGAUAUCUAUCGGAACGCCAACGGUGAAGACAGGUGACUGGGCCAAAUCUGACGCUGAGGCACGAAAGCGUGGGGAGCAAACGGGAUUAGAUACCCCGGUAGUCCACGCCGUAAACGAUGCACACUUGGUCGGAGCGGUUUGACUCCGUUUCGGCCGUAGAAAACUGAUGAGUGUGCCGCCUGGGGAGUACGGUCGCAGAUUAAAACUCAAAGGAUUUGGCGG